AAAUUGAUGAUGAAAAGGAAACGCUUCUUCAUGUCAAGCACAGAGAACCUAUGGAUGCUGAGAAUAGGUGUUGACAUUUGAGGCUACUCACCUUGGAGUCGACUUCUGAAUUAAGUAGGAAGUACGGUUGCAGCCGUAACAUUGCAAAGUAAAUCUUUUACUUAAAGAGGCCGUAUGUUGUGUGCGGUAAAAGAGGGUGGUACCGUGAAUUAUUUUCGCCCCUCUA
rnacentral:ncRNA from 1 species